UCUGUCCUUCUCUUGAUGAAUGAUGGAGGCCACUGUGCUCACUGGGACCUUCAAAGCAGCAGAAAUGUUUGUGUACCCUUCCCCAGAUUUGUGCCUCGAGACAAUCAUGUCUCAGAUAUCUACAG